rnacentral:pre_miRNA from 2 species
ACCUGGCAUACAAUGUAGAAUUCUGUGUUUGUUAAGCAACAGCUACAUUGUCUGCUGGGUUUC